UAGGACUGAGGUGGGUGUUGCACCAAUCCAAGACAAACUUCGGGAGAGCCGCUUGAGAUGGUUUGGUCAUGUACAAAGGAGACCCACGGAUGCACCAAUAAGAAAGAAUGAC